rnacentral:ncRNA from 1 species
CUCGAAAUGGUUUUUUGCUAUGUGCUGCAAGCGAUUGAGGCGAUCGGGAUGCCAUGCUUUGUGAUGCAAGAAAAAGGGAAGCGAAGAAUCAACUGAUGAUUUGGGUCAGAGGGGAGUAAGUUGUGCGCGUCAAAGUUUUUUCUGAGGAGAAAUCAUGAUAACUUAACGAAUUGUGUGGCCUCGUGCCGACGAUGUUUCAUCCAAAUUUCUGCCCUAUCAACCUUCGAUGGUAGGAUAGAGGCCUACCAGGUGAGAACGGGUGACGGAGGAUUAGGGUUUCGAUUUCGGAG